rnacentral:rRNA from 1 species
GACGAACGCUGGCGGCGUGCUUAACACAUGCAAGUCGAACGCUGAAGCUCAGCUUUUGUUGGGUGGAUGAGUGGCGAACGGGUGAGUAACACGUGAGUAACCUGCCCUCUUCUUUGGGAUAACGCCCGGAAACGGGUGCUAAUACUGGAUAUUCACUGAUCUUCGCAUGAGGGUUGGUGGAAAGGUUUGUUCUGGUGGGGGAUGGGCUCGCGGCCUAUCAGCUUGUUGGUGGGGUGAUGGCCUACCAAGGCUUUGACGGGUAGCCGGCCUGAGAGGGUGACCGGUCACAUUGGGACUGAGAUACGGCCCAGACUCCUACGGGAGGCAGCAGUGGGGAAUAUUGCACAAUGGGCGAAAGCCUGAUGCAGCGACGCCGCGUGAGGGAUGGAGGCCUUCGGGUUGUAAACCUCUUUCGCUCAUGGUCAAGCCGCGACUUUGGUUGUGGUGAGGGUAGUGGGUAAAGAAGCGCCGGCUAACUACGUGCCAGCAGCCGCGGUAAUACGUAGGGCGCGAGCGUUGUCCGGAAUUAUUGGGCGUAAAGGGCUUGUAGGCGGUUGGUCGCGUCUGCCGUGAAAUUCUCUGGCUUAACUGGGGGCGUGCGGUGGGUACGGGCUGACUUGAGUGCGGUAGGGGAGACUGGAACUCCUGGUGUAGCGGUGGAAUGCGCAGAUAUCAGGAAGAACACCGGUGGCGAAGGCGGGUCUCUGGGCCGUUACUGACGCUGAGGAGCGAAAGCGUGGGGGAGCGAACAGG